rnacentral:rRNA from 1 species
GACGAACGCUGGCGGCGUGCUUAACACAUGCAAGUCGAACGCUGAAGCUCAGCUUGCUGGGUGGAUGAGUGGCGAACGGGUGAGUAACACGUGAGUAACCUGCCCUCUUCUUUGGGAUAACGCCCGGAAACGGGUGCUAAUACUGGAUAUUCACUGAUUCUCGCAUGGGGGUUGGUGGAAAGGUUUUUUCUGGUGGGGGAUGGGCUCGCGGCCUAUCAGCUUGUUGGUGGGGUGAUGGCCUACCAAGGCUUUGACGGGUAGCCGGCCUGAGAGGGUGACCGGUCACAUUGGGACUGAGAUACGGCCCAGACUCCUACGGGAGGCAGCAGUGGGGAAGAUUGCACAAUGGGCGAAAGCCUGAUGCAGCGACGCCGCGUGAGGGAUGGAGGCCUUCGGGUUGUAAACCUCUUUCGCUCAUGGUCAAGCCGCAGCUUUGGGUUGUGGUGAGGGUAGUGGGUAAAGAAGCGCCGGCGAACUACGU